UACGUAGGGGGCGAGCGUUGUCCGGAUUUAUUGGGCGUAAAGAGCUCGUAGGCGGUUGGGUAAGUCGGGUGUGAAAACUCAGGGCUCAACUCUGAGACGCCACUCGAUACUGCCCUGACUCGAGUCCGGUAGGGGAGCGUGGAAUUCCCGGUGUAGCGGUGAAAUGCGCAGAUAUCGGGAGGAACACCAGUGGCGAAGGCGGCGCUCUGGGCCGGAACUGACGCUGAGGAGCGAAAGCGUGGGUAGCAAACGGG
rnacentral:rRNA from 1 species